rnacentral:rRNA from 1 species
GACGAACGCUGGCGGCGUGCUUAACACAUGCAAGUCGAGCGGUAAGGCCCUUUCGGGGGUACACGAGCGGCGAACGGGUGAGUAACACGUGGGUGACCUGCCCUCAGCUCUGGGAUAAGCCUGGGAAACCGGGUCUAAUACUGGAUAUGACUCCAUGACGCAUGUUGUGGGGUGGAAAGCCUUGUGCGGCUGAGGAUGGGCCCGCGGCCUAUCAGCUUGUUGGUGGGGUGAGGCCUACCAAAGGCGACGACGGGUAGCCGGCCUGAGAGGGCGACCGGCCACACUGGGACUGAGACACGGCCCAGACUCCUACGGGAGGCAGCAGUGGGGAAUCUUGCGCAAUGGGCGAAAGCCUGACGCAGCGACGCCGCGUGAGGGAUGACGGCCU